GAUGAACGCUGGCGGCGUGCCUAAUACAUGCAAGUCGAACGGUGAGAUUGUAGCAAUACGGUCUUCUAGUGGCGAACGGGUGAGUAACGCGUUGGUGACCUGCCCCGAAGAGUGGGAUAACAGUUCGAAAGGGCUGCUAAUACCGCAUGUGGAUGGAGAGAUUAGAGGCUUUCCAUCGAAAGGAGCAAUCCGCUUCGGGAGGGACCUGCGACCCAUCAGCUAGUUGGUAGGGUAACGGCCUACCAAGGCGACGACGGGUAGGGGACCUGAGAGGGUGACCCCCCACACUGGCACUGAAACACGGGCCAGACACCUACGGGUGGCAGCAGUAGGGAAUAUUGCACAAUGGGCGCAAGCCUGAUGCAGCAACGCCGCGUGCGCGAUGAAGGCCUUCGGGUCGUAAAGCGCUUUUCUGGAGGACGAGCAAGGACGGUACUCCAGGAAGAAGGAUCGGCUAACUACGUGCCAGCCGCCGCAGUAAAAC
rnacentral:rRNA from 1 species